UUUAAUAUGGCAGAUUAGUGCAAUGAAUUUAAACUUCAUAUAUAAAAUUAUUAUUUUUAUUAAAA
rnacentral:tRNA from 1 species